UCUCGAUGAAAUGAUGCUUUUGAAACCGUGUUGGGGUGUUGCUUCCCAAGUGUGCGCCUGACCAAGAACAGCGCAGGAAGGCCAUGAGCCCAGUACACUCCCUCCAUCUCCCAUCUCUGUUCUUUCUGGGUUACCUGACCUGACAUCCCCCUUCCCAAGAACAAGAAUCAUUUUUGAGAGCUGUGAACGUUUCCUGGGUAUCCACAGAUGUCUGGAAGUCAAGACUGGAAACAAACACAGCGCCAAGAUAGCAAGCAACCAGAAAGUGCUCACUUCAAAAUAAACAGGGUCUUUGGAACAUGUGCAGGCUGGCCUGGAACUUGCUGCCUAACAGACUGACCUCCAGAUCCUCGUCCCGCAGUCUCCUCAGUGCCAAGACUACAGUUAUGCCCUGCCAUAGCUCAGUCGCCUCUUCUCUUGAAACUGAUUGGGAGAUUCUGACAGUAUGUUAGUUACUUUAAAUGUGUGUGACAGCCUGCUUCUGCAGACCAGACAUCCCUCAAACUAACU